GUGCCCGUAGCUCAGCUGGAUAGAGCACCGGCCUUCUAAGCCGGGGGUCGUGGGUUCGAUUCCCGCCGGGCGCG
rnacentral:tRNA from 2 species